ACGAACGCUGGCGGCGUGCUUAACACAUGCAAGUCGAACGGAAAGGCCCCUUUGGGGGUCCUCGCGUGGCGAACGGGUGAGUAACACGUGAGUAACCUGCCCUUGACUUCGGGAUAACUUCAGGAAACUGGGGCUAAUACCGGAUAGGAAUCCUUGCUGCAUGGUGGGGGUUGGAAAGCUUCGGCGGUUUUGGAUGGACUCACGGCUUAUCAGCUUGUUGGUGGGGUAGUGGCUUACCAAGGCUUUGACGGGUAGCCGGCCUGAGAGGGCGACCGGCCACAUUGGGACUGAGAUACGGCCCAGACUCCUACGGGAGGCAGCAGUGGGGAAUAUUGCACAAUGGGCGGAAGCCUGAUGCAGCAACGCCGCGUGCGGGAUGACGGCCUUCGGGUUGUAAACCGCGUUCAGCAGGGGCGAAGCUUGUGGUGACGGUACCUGCAGAAGAAGCACCGGCUAACUACGUG
rnacentral:rRNA from 1 species